rnacentral:rRNA from 1 species
UACGGAGGGUGCGAGCGUUGUCCGGAAUCACUGGGCGUAAAGGGCGCGUAGGUGGCCUGUGGAAGUCUGCGGUGAAAGCCCGGCGCUCAACGCCGGGUCGGCCGUGGAUACUCUCGGGCUUGAGCUUACUAGAGGCAGAUGGAAUUCCGGGUGUAGCGGUGGAAUGCGUAGAUAUCUGGAGGAACACCGGUGGCGAAGGCGGCAUUCUGGACUGUAACAGACACUGAGAGACGAAAGCCAGGGGAGCAAACGGG